AAAAGUUUGGGUGACUUAAGAAUUAUACCAAAAUUAGGAUAAGUAAUUAUGGUAAGUUUAAAUAAAUUUAAAGAAAACCGAAUUUGAAUAGGAAUCAAUUCCAGACGGCUCUUAUUGUAUAAAUAGGACCUCAUUGUCAUACCGUUCCAUACUAAAGGGUUUUGAUGUUAUGAAGCACUUCAACAAUUACCGUCUCUGCGGCAGCUAGAUCUAAGUGGCUCCCAAAGCCUGAACAAAAAUACCAUUUGAAUACGGCCCAAGUACUCUACAGCCGUUCAUUACGUUGUCCGUCAGCUGAGAUUCAUUUUUUCUUGGUACCACUUGCUGCCUUAUUGGAUACAUCUAAGGUAAAUGGAAAAACACCAAGAAUUAUGGAUUUCGUUUGUUGUAUAAAGAUGAAGGAAAGCUUAAGGCCUUGUUACAAAUUAUGAGAAGUAGUGAUGAACUAAGAGAGAACUCAGUGAAGAAUGAAGCGAGUCGCUUCUCUUAUAAGAAACAAAUGUCACAUUUCUUAUAUUCGCUGGAACUCUGUUUUUGAGAAUCUGCAGCAACAAGUAGAGUAACAGUGUUAUGAAUAUAACUUAGCUGGAGGACCUAUGUGAGGAGAUGCCAAAUUACAUUUGGGACCCUGAGAAAAUUCAUAUAUAUAGAAGAGGGAAAUACUCAAUUAGGAUUAUGCUAUGAACUUGUCUCUUGUUUCUUAGUUUCUUUCUAAUCUGGAACCUUCCUUCCUUCAUCCUUUUUGUUUCUACUUGUUCCCUUGGAAGGAUUUGUUACUAGUUUUGGAGGAAUUAGAAUGAUGAACUCUUAUAGUUGUACGUGUAAUUCCAAUUAUCCAUUUUAAUACAAUAUGAGUUUAUUA